rnacentral:rRNA from 1 species
GACGAACGCUGGCGGCGUGCCUAAUACAUGCAAGUCGAGCGAGGCGGCGGAUGGGUGAGUAACGCGUGGGUAACCUGCCCUUAAGUCUGGGAUACCAUUUGGAAACAGAUGCUAAUACCGGAUACUAAAGGAUGGCCCUGCGAUGCAUUAGAUAGUUGGUAAGGUAACGGCUUACCAAGGCGAUGAUGCAUAGCUGAUGUGAGAGACUGAUCGGCCACAUUGGGACUGAGACACGGCCCAAACUCCUACGGGAGGCAGCAGUAGGGAAGCUUCCACAAUGGGCGCAAGCCUGAUGCAGCCAUGCCGCGUGUAUGAAGAAGGCCUUCGGGUUGUAAAGUACUUUCAGCGAGGAGGCGUUACUCGCAGAAGAAGCACCGGCUAACUCCGUGCCAGCCGCCGCGGUAAUAC